ensembl:lncRNA SNHG14 small nucleolar RNA host gene 14
GGAUCGAUGAUGAGAAUAAUUGUCUGAGGAUGCUGAGGGACUCAUUCCAGAUGUCAAUCUGAGGUCCAGAUGUGUGGCCCUCCAAUAGGACAAAUAAGACUCUCAGAGCCUGGCUCUAUUUGGGGAUCCCUCAGUGACAACAUAGUACCUCUGUGAGCGUGCCUUUUCUAUCUCUCCGAAGAGGGCAUUAGCAUCCUGUCUUAUGAGUCAGUAUGCACUUUAGUAUGGUUAGUGACCCAAGACUCACUUUAUUUUGUUCAUUUUGAGCAGAGAAUUGUAGAUAGAUACAUAUAUGGGAAAUAUGUUCUUGAUUAACAAAUGAAAAAAUGAAAAAGUUUCAGUCAAGAAAGGUCAAGGAACUGUGAUGUAUAGUGAAGGCAGGGAACACUGCAUGCCUGUAUUAAAUAUUGACAAAGGAACCAAUUUUAGUGCUUUGUUAUUUUUACUGUUGAGUAUUUUCUGAGACCAUUUCUUUUUCUUCUAUUUUGUUUUGCUGAGGUAGAGGAGGGCUGGAAUGAGGUCCUCCACUUCAGAAAAUAGGGGUGAGUAGUUAAACCAACAUCCUUUGGAAUUCAUAUACGUCAUGCGUUCCAUGCCACAUCCUGAGAUCUUUUUGUUGAUUUUUUUAGUGGCUUACUGGAUAAUAUCUAAAUACUGUAUAUUUUACUUUGGUGAGUCUCUCCACCUUCAUUUCUGAAUCAUUGUCCUUUACAUUUUUAUUCUAUUUGAAUUUUGCAUGAAAUGACAAAUGUAGAAUUUUGCCCAAUUUAUUUUAUUUAUUCAUUUAUUUAUUUGGGAAGACAAAGUCUCUCUCUGUCACCCAGGCUGGAGUACAUUGGCCCAGUCAGAGCUCACUUCAGCUCUUCACCCUGUAGCCCUUAACUCCUGGGCUCAAGUGAUCCUCCACCCUCAGCCUCCCAAGUAUCUAGGAAUACAGUUGUCAUGGGAGGCCAGCCGCCUGCUGGCAAGGAAGAUGGUUGAUUCUUCUGAUCAAUGGAGGCCCUGCAGAGUCCUGUAGUCACUGUGGCCUGGCAUCCAUGGUGCACCCAAUGCUGGUGGAUGGCUUAGGACGGUACGCCUCACCUGAGAGGGCGGCUAGAGACAGUGUCUGCUCAGGACAUCAGAUGUCCCGUGAGGAGGAGUGUGUACUCACACCAGGGGAGUUGACUGAGGCAGUUGCUGUGGGAGGUGUGGUAACUGCUGGAAGGAAGAUGCUCAAUUCUUCUGAGCAACGAAGGCCACACGGAGUCCUGGAUUCUGUGUGGCCUGGCAUCCAUGGCGCACUGUGUGCUGGCAGGUGGCUCAGGACGGUAAGCAUUUCUCUGCCCAGUAUGCUGAAUGAGGGUGUCUUUCGGAUUUCCAAGACCCGCAAGGAGCAGUUUCUCAGCUAACCACUAAUGGCAUGGCGAGUUCCUCUCCUAGAGUGGAUAGUCUGUGCUCAUUGCUCAGUGGCAUCGCUCUAGUGGGGCCGAAGGUCUUUAAGGUCAUUGGCUCACCCACUGCCCAGCCUGUGGUGUCAAAUAUCCUGCCCCUUGCCCCUUCAAAUGUGCUUGGAUCGAUGAUGAGUCCCCAAAAAAAACAUUCCUUGGAAAAGCUGAACAAAAUGAGUGAAAACUCAUACCGUCAUUCUCAUCGGAACUGAGGUCCAGCACGUUGCCUUCCCCGGGGACUGUAGGAGUGAGGGACAACUUCCACUGAUUCCCAUAGGUUCCACCACCCAAGGCAUCCACAGCCAAAGUCUCCCAUCAAAUGCUCAUUAGGAACAUUCCCUUUUUGUGAGGUACACAGGUAGGAGAGUCCUGGGGGGAACGGCUGCUCUGUGAUGGCCUGGUGGCCAUGGAAGCAGACAGAAAUAUCGCAGGCCUAGGGUAGUGUGCGCCUGAUCUUGGCUUGGUGAGCUCCUAGGAAGGGAGACGCGGACCUCGUGGCAGGCGUCUCUGAGCAGAGGACUGAGUCCUUGUUUUCUUGCCGGGGAGAGCACAAGGCCCAGGCCUCAGGCAGAUGUUGGUCCUGAUUUUUGAUUAGCUGAGGACAAGGGAGUGCCAAGGGUGAUGGGGGACAGUGUAUAACAAAGGGUGUUGUGACAGAGAGCCAAAGCCUCUUUGGCCCUCCACCCAGCAUCCAGUCAUGGAGGCCCCCCAGCAGGGAUUUCUUCAUCCCCUGAGCCGUGAGAUGCCCCUGGUGCUAUGGUGGAAGCCUGGACUGGAAGAGUAGUGGGCUCCACUGUUGGGCACAUCUUCCUGGAAGUCGUCUCUUGGCCCGCCAUUGCCGAGCGGCCACACCUGCUGCAGCUCGUGUGAGCAAAUAUGGCUCUGGAUCCUCUUUCCUGCUUUGAAAGCAGCUUCCAUCCUGAAGGCGUCCAGAGGGGGCAGUUAUCAUGGGACACCCGCCAUAUGCUGGCAAGGAAGAUGGUCAGUUCUUCUGAGCCACAAAGGCCCCCAACAUCCUGGAGUUGGUGUUGCCUAGCAUCCACGGUGCGCCCCCUGCUGGUGGAUGGCUCAGGAUGGUAAGCAUUCCUCCGCCGCACAUGCUGAGUGGGGGUGGGAUUUCCAAGACCUGCAAGGAGCUGUUUCUCAGCAGGCCACUGAUGGCAUGGCGAGUUCCACUCCUAAAGUGAACGGUCUGUGCCCAUUGUUCAGUGGUGCAGCUCUGGCUUCCCCAGCGUGCGGAGGGUUUUUAAGGUCAUCGGCUUGCCCACUGCCCAGCCUGUGGUGUCAAAUAUCCUGCCCCUUCAAAUGUGCUUGGAUCGAUGAUGAGUCCCCCAUAAAAACAUUCCUUGGAAAAGCUGAACAAAAUGAGUGAGAACUCAUACCGUCGUUCUCAUCGGAACUGAGGUC